ACAAAAGAUAUUAUAUUAAUAGGUCUCAAUACAAAUCCACCCCAUAACCUUAAUCUCUUAACAAUAAUUAAUCCCUUCAAUUCUAAACCUUCCCACAACCGUCAACGACUAAAAAAUUCGCCGGAAAAUGUCGUUGACUUCGUCCUCGAAACUGUCAAAAUAAAAAAUUUAUAUCUUUCCUUCGAUUGAUGUCGUUUCUGCCCAAACUCAACGAUUAACACUCAAGUUCAUAUACGAACCACAUUUACGAAUUAUCAACACAAAGGGCAAACAAAAGAAGGUAGACAAAAGAAAAAAAAACAACCGAAAACAGUUCCUUUUACAUUCAAAAACAUGUAAAAAUCUGAAUAAAAAAUCCUCCGCUAACUAUAAG
rnacentral:lncRNA from 1 species